GUAGGUGAACCUGCGGAAGGAUCAUUAACACWAAUCCACAACUACUCAACCUAGCCUACAGUUGCAGCCUAGUCUCUUCGGAGGCACCGUUGCAACCUCAGCAAAACUAAUCAAACAAAGGACUCUAACUAAGUCAUUCAAUAAAACCAAAUUCUCAACGAUGGAUAUCUUGGUUCCCAUUACGAUGAAGAACGCAGCGAAGUGCGAUAAGCAGUGCGAAUUGCAGAACCGUGAGUCAUCAGAUUUUUGAACGCAACUGGCACUAGAUGGCUAUCCGUCUAGUAUGCUUGUUUCAGUGUCUUAUUUUUUCCUAACCGAAAUCAUAAUGCGAGCGAUACCCUUCGCUUGUUAAGCAUGAAAGCACUCUGCGCUCUGCGAGCGACUUCGAUUCGUCGAGGGUCGCACUCAAUGCAGCAGUCACAUUGUUUACAGUGUGAACUCAUUGAGAGUAGAGGCAGCGCGGUGUAACAACUGCCAGUGCUUAGACACUCAAACUUUUCUUGUAUCUGAAAUCAAGCAGGAUCACCCGCUGAACUUAAGCAUAUCACUA
rnacentral:rRNA from 1 species